GCGGGUAUCGUAUAGCGGCUAUUAUCUCAGUUUUCCAAACUGANNGCGGGUUCGACUCCCGCUACCCGCUCCA
rnacentral:tRNA from 1 species